GUAGGGAAUCUUCCGCAAUGGACGCAAGUCUGACGGAGCAACGCCGCGUGAGUGACGAAGGUUUUCGGAUCGUAAAACUCUGUUGUGAGGGAAGAACACGUACCAACUAACUAUUGGUACCUUGACGGUACCUCACCAGAAAGCCACGGCUAACUACGUGCCAGCAGCCGCGGUAAUACGUAGGUGGCAAGCUUUGUCCGGAAUUAUUGGGCGUAAAGCGCGCGCAGGCGGUUCCUUAAGUCUGAUGUGAAAGCCCACGGCUCAACCGUGGAGGGUCAUUGGAAACUGGGGAACUUGAGUGCAGAAGAGGAAAGUGGAAUUCCACGUGUAGCGGUGAAAUGCGUAGAGAUGUGGAGGAACACCAGUGGCGAAGGCGACUUUCUGGUCUGUAACUGACGCUGAGGCACGAAAGCGUGGGGAGCAAACAGGAUUAGAAACCCCAGUAGUCC
rnacentral:rRNA from 1 species